AACUGCCUACAGUUUGCACCCUUAGUAAAAGAAAACAAAGCCACUACAAUUUAGGGAGGGGUUACUCUGCACCAGGUGGGGUAAACUCAUUAUGUGAGUUAUAUGGUUUCAUCCUCAUGUCAACACUGAUGGAGAGUGGUGUCGGUACUGCUAUUAAUCCACCUUUUGAAGAUGAGGGAAUGGAGGCCAAAAGAACUGAUCUCAGUGACUUUGGACAGGGAUUCUGGUAAAAUAAAAUCUGACCCUGUUGGAAGGUGCUUGAAACAACAGAGAAUAGCCACGGUCUGCCUAUGAGAAGGAAGAGUGGCAAUAGGUAGUUUCAGUCCUGGAGGAGAUCCAGCAUGAUGUGGGGGAGCCCUUCAAGGCCCCAGCUGUUCAUUGCCCCCUGUGCCCGUGUGCCUAUGACUUUGUGCCCUCCCUUCAAGACUAGGAUGCUCUGCCUUGUCCUUCGAUUCUGGGCUAAGUUGUGUACCUUGCUUCAACCCUUACAAUAUGAAAGUCAGGACUGAAGCCCAGGCUUGGGGCACUUUUGUCCAUUAGAGCUUGCUUUCUCGUACACACUGCAUAGUAGCCAUGACGACAUGUCCAGGCCCGCCUGAUGAGGCUGAGAGAUACAUGGAAUGGAGUCCCAGCUGACCCAGAGGGAUCCUGCCUUGAUCAGCUAAACCCCACACAUGAGCGAGGCCAGCUAAGAUCAACAGAGCCACCUGGUCUAUAUCAGCUGAACCUUGCAGACUUCUGAAAAAUAAGUGGUUUUUUUAAAUUAAACAAAUCAAACUUUUAAUUUUGAAAUCCAUGUAGAUUUACAUGCACUUGUAAGAAAUAAAGAUCCCAUAAAAAAAAAAGAUCCCAUGCACCCUUUAUCCAGUUUUCCUCAAUGGUAACAUCAUGCAAAAUUAUAGUACAGUGUCAUAACCAGGAUAGUGACAUUGGUAGAGUCAAGAUACAAAAUACUUGCAUCAGCAUAAGGAUCCCUCAUGUUGCUAUUUAUGACUACAUUCCCUUCCCUCUUGCUCCCACCCUCUCCGUAACCCCUGGAAACCCCCAAUCUAUCCUCUGUUUCUAUUAUUUUGUCAUUUCAAGGAUGUUAUAUGAAUGAAAUCAUAUAGGAUGUAA